rnacentral:rRNA from 1 species
UACGGAGGGUGCAAGCGUUAUCCGGAUUUAUUGGGUUUAAAGGGUGCGUAGGCGGUUAUAUAAGUCAGCGGUGAAAUUUUUCGGCUCAACCGGAAACAUGCCGUUGAUACUGUAUAGCUUGAAUAUGGUUGCUGUGAGUGGAAUGUGUAGUGUAGCGGUGAAAUGCUUAGAUAUUACACAGAAUAUCGAUUGCGAAGGCAACUCACAAAGCCAUUAUUGACGCUGAGGCACGAAAGUGUGGGGAUCAAACAGGAUUAGAUACCCUGGUAGUCCACACUGUAAACGAUGAUAACUAGCUGUCGGCGAUAGACCGUCGGUGGCCAAGCGAAAGCGUUAAGUAAUCCACCUGGGGAGUACGCCGGCAACGGUGAA